rnacentral:misc_RNA from 1 species
AAGGAUCAUUAGUGAAUUUUAGGGCGUGCUUUCGAGCAGCCUGACCUCCACUUUCUACUCUGUGCACUUUUUUCGGUACUGAGACGGGGUCAAACCCGUCGCUUUGCCACCCUUUUAUUUUAAACCUGAGUUUAAGAAUGUAACAAAAAACCAUAACAAAAAAAAACUUUCAACAACGGAUCUCUUGGCUCUC